rnacentral:lncRNA from 1 species
UGAACAUAUCAUAUUUGGUCUUUAUGGUUGUCGGAGUCUUAUAACUAUUAUAUUUCUGAUUAUCCGAGUCUGAGAGGUAGAGCGAACCCAAAUAGGUGUCUUUGUGGGGCCUUAGAUGUAGGCCUUGAGGCUUCCCAUUAGAGUCCGUUCUUAUACUCAAACCAUCUAGACCGCAGAAUAGAAUGAAUCCAAAUAAGUGCCUUUGUGGGGCCUUAGGUGUAGGCCUUGAGGCUUCCUAUCAGAAUCCAUUACAUACUUAAGCGUUCUAUGAUAAUCAUGAUAUAAUAGAAACAAAACCGAGAGGUAGAUCGAUUACUUGCGCCCCAAGUAACUUCGGACUUCUCGUUUAUCAAGGAUUGUCGUGAGUCCACAUAAAGUUCUUUUUUUAUGCCUUGAGGCCAAGGACUUUUAAACUAAUCAGAUUUACAUGCCCGAGGGCUUAGGACUUGGAUCUGAUUUAAACACUGAAGAUAUUCAAAUCGGAUCCAAGUACUGAGAAAGCUUUGUCAUCGUGAUUUUGCUAGAAACCAUUUGCAUAUAACUGGAAGUAUACAACAUAUUGCUAGAGUUUAAAGAAAGAGAAGACAAAGACAGAGCAAAGCAGGUCGGGCAAGAUUAAACCUUAUCAAUUAAGGCUGAUCGUCUUGCAGGUCCCUAUCUUUGUAGUUCUGUCAAAGGUCUGAAAGCUUAGAGGGAGGAAGGGGAAAUGAGAAUAUAAAAGGUGAAUCGAUACUACAACAAGUUCGAACAAGGUAGCAGAGCUAUUACAGAGGUUGGGAGAAAAGAUUAUCCCGCGGGGGAUGAA